UACGGGGGGGGCAAGCGUUGUUCGGAAUUACUGGGCGUAAAGGGCUCGUAGGUGGCCAACUAAGUCAGACGUGAAAUCCCUCGGCUUAACCGGGGAACUGCGUCUGAUACUGGAUGGCUUGGAGGUUGGGGAGAGGGAUGCGGAAGUUCCAGGUGUAGCGGUAGAAAUGCGUAGAUAUCUGGAGGAACACCGGUGGCGAAGGCGGCAUCCUGGACCAAUUCUGACGCUGAGGAGCGAAAGCCAGGGGAGCAAACGGG
rnacentral:rRNA from 1 species